rnacentral:lncRNA from 1 species
CUGGAUUAUAUUGGCAUUGGUCUCUUCUCUUACUCACAGGUUCAAUCACAGGUUACUGCACUUGUCCCGGUGACAUCCUCUUCUACUCCGUCGUCUCAUGAAUGGAGCGAUUAUCCUUUCUUUGACAUAUCUUGCAAGUCUGUCAAUCUCAAAUCCGAGCUAUUACAUGGUGGUCAUGGAUCACAAUUGGAAUCCAGUAUCAAGAAAAAGAUUAUGAAUUUUCUUAACAUAUCUCCAAAUGAAUAUUCCUUGGUUUUUACUGCUAAUAGAUCAUCAGCUUUCAAGCUUAUAGCGGAAUCAUACCCUUUCAAAACUAGUCAAAAGCUUCUUACUGCUUAUGACCAUGAGAGUGAAGCAUUGGAGACCAUGGUCAAUACAUCAGAAAAAAGAGGGGCCAACAUAAUGUCGGCAGAAUUCAAGUGGCCACGGCUAAGAAUUAACUCCGCAAAACUCAGGAAACUAAUUAUAAGGAAGAAUAAGAAGAAAAAGAAAUCCAGGGGACUGUUUGUUUUCCCCCUUCAGUCAAGAGUGACUGGAGCCAGUUACUCUUAUCAGUGGAUGAGUUUGGCGCAGGAAAAUGGUUGGCAUGUCUUGCUUGAUGCAUGUGCAUUGGGACCAAAGGACAUGGAUAGCUUCGGACUUUCUCUCAUCCAUCCUGACUUCCUUAUUUGCUCUUUCUACAAGGUUUUUGGUGAAAAUCCUACAGGGUUCGGGUGCCUUCUUGUCAAGAAAUCAGUUGUAUCGGUGUUGGAAGCUUCUGUUAGUACAGGCAAUGUAAGUCUUAUUCCACCAACGCAACUCUUAAAUUCACUAGAUUCAUCAGGCAGUGGCACGGAGCUUGAACAAAAAACCAACUUUGUUACCAAACUGGAUGAGCUGCAUAUAUCUGGCUCUUAUUCAGCUCACAAUGGUAAAUCUGAAAACAAUUUGAACUCAACGAAAGAGGGAGGAGUUGCUCCAAAGGAAAAGAGCAAAGAGGAAUCAGAUCAAUCCAUUAGUACACUAGGCAACAACACUAAGCUGGAAGAAAAGGGAAGCAUAGAGAUUCAAUGCAGGUGCUUAGAUCAUGUGGAUUCGCUGGGACUGAUGCAAAUUGGUAGUAGAAGAAGGUAUCUAGUCAAUUGGCUUAUUAGUGGACUCCUGAAACUUCAGCAUCCAAAUAGAUUGGACCAUUUUCCUCUGGUCAAAAUUUAUGGACCAAAGAUAAAAUUUGAUAGGGGAACGGCUAUGGCAUUUAAUCUGUUUGACUGGAAAGGAGAAAGGGUGGAACCAAUUCUUAUUCAGAAACUUGCUGACCGAAACAAUAUAUCUCUCAGCCAUGGAUUUCUGUCACACUUGUGGUUUCCAGACAAGUAUGAGGAAGAGAAGCAGCGGACUAUAGAAAGAAAAAAGGGUGACGAAAACGAUGCAGAGAGCAAAAAAUCUAAAAAAACUGACCUUAGGAUAUCAGUAGUUACCAUUGCCCUUGGCUUUCUGGCCAACUUUGAAGACGUUUACCGGCUUUGGACAUUCAUAGCCCAGUUUCUUGAUGCAGAUUUUGUGGAGAAAGAACGGUGGAGAUAUAGCUCUCUGUACCAGAAAACGAUUGAAGUUUAAUGUAGCAGUUUAUGUCAGCAAUUCUUUUACUGCAAAAGACUUUGAAGUGUGAUACUUGUUUUUGUCAAUGUAAAGGAAACAAAUACUGGAUUUUUGUCCAGAAAAUGAAAAUGGGAGUCCAAACAUUUGGAGAGAAAGUCAUAUAUGGAAAGCAAGGAAUUGGGUUCACUUGUUUAUCAUUUUUUUCAACUUGCUUUGAUUGAGUAGCCUAUAUAUUGUGAAUAUAUGUGGAUGAAUGGAUAGAAAGCUAUAAUUAACUGAUAAGAAACGUUAUAGAAUUCAAUUGCAUUUAAGAAAUUUAUGCUCCACAAAAAUCCCCUCUAUAAACAACAUGGUUAACAAGUCAUAAUUUUCACGAAGAAAACAUGCUUCUGUAUUUUCAACAAAUGAGUGCAAAAUGUAAUAACAGGUAGCAUCUUCUGACAUAUGUAGCCCAGUCAUUGCACUCUUAAGCAAGAACUCAUCAAAAGGCAUAUGCAACCAAAUGCAGAUACACAAUUGUUCCUAACAAAGGAUCUUUAGUUUCAAACAUUGAAUGCUAGUGUUAUGGCAAAUCCAGUGAGAUAAAUCUACCACCAGAAGGUACAUUUAAUAACAAAUUCACAGGUCACACCAUUAGAACACUUCUCUUUUGAUGAGGGAAAAGAAAAUGGUACUACCCCAAGAUUUUGUAUGUUACCGACCAUGGAAAUUCGAGAGGAUACUAAAAUAUACUUAAAGGAAAAUUUCUCUGCCAAAUGAAUAAGAGGAUAAUAUAACCUGACCUUAAAGUCUCAAAAGGCUAAUGCUAGUUGAGGUAUCAUAUCUAGCAUCCAUGAUUUAUCACUUGACAAAGAAUAACCCUUCUGAGCAUCACUCUGCCUUUUCACAUUGAAAACUUUCAUCAACUAUCGAGUGCAAAGCUUGCUUAACCAAGCUGCAUUGAACAGAGGAGUAGAAAGAAGAGAACUUGUU